rnacentral:lncRNA from 1 species
GACUCCGUUACGAGAGACAGAGGCGGAUUAGAAUAGGUCCAGAGGAGGACGCCUGGGGGGCAAGAGGCCUGGAAAUGCAUGCUGUCUCUCCACUCCAUUGCCAAGGAUUGGACUGUGUGGUGGUGAGGCCACCCCGGGGGUGAGGGGACAGGCCGAUGUCUCCCAGAAACAGUGGCUCUUCUGCAGCCAACAGCCGGCCUGACUCCCAGUGUUCUUGUGCCUCCUCUCGGCUUGCUCUCCUCUCCCUACCUUGUCUGUAGAACUCUCUUUCCACAACCCCUCCUCUCUUUUCUUACCUCUUCUCAUCAUCCCAGCUUCUCUUUUCUUUCUCUCCUUUGCCACGUGGCUGAGAGUCGACCUGCAGUGGGCCUGCUGUUCUAGGAACGCCCUUGCUCCAUCUCCUCUUCUCUUCCUGUGGGUUCCCUGGAUUCGGUCCGAUGUGAAGUGUGGUGCCACAAGGAAAGCAGCUAUGGCAGAGUGGGGGCUUUGGGAGAGACUGAGGAAGACUGGCCCUGAGCUAACAUCCGUGCCCAUCCUCCUCUACUUUAUAUGUGGGAUGCCUACCACAACAUGGCUUGCCACGUGGUGCCACGUCUGCACCCGGGAUCUGAACUGGCAAACCCUGGGCCGCUGAAGCAGAACAUGCACACUUAACCACUGCGCCACCGGGCUGGCCCCCUGUUUAAUUUUUUUUUUUAAAGAUUUUAUUUUUUUCCUUUUUCUCCCCAAAGCCCCCCAGUACAUAGUUGUAUAUUCUUCGUUGUGGGUCCUUCUAGUUGUGGCAUGUGGGACGCUGCCUCAGCAUGGCUUGAUGAGCAGUGCCAUGUCCGCACCCAGGAUUCGAACUAAUGAAACACUGGGCCACCUGCAGCAGAGCACACGAACUUGACCACUCAGCCACGGGGCCAGCCCCCCUGUUUAAUUUUUUUUAAGUUAUUGUUUUAUUCUGAUAUUCCAUUUCCUAUUGAAUUGAUUUUGUUGUUUUACAUUACAAGAUUGUUUCUUUCAUCUAAUUUUCCAAAUUUAUUGACAUAAACUUGUUCAUAGCGAUUGCAUAUGAUUUUCAAAUCUCUUCCAGCA